UUCCUCCAUCUCCCUUUUCCCUCUUUCCUCUCUUGAGUGAUAAUGGUGGGAAAGGAUGAUGGAGAUUGAAGAUGAACUGAUGAUGAUUUUGAUGGAGGUUUCGACAUUCUUCCAUGGUUCCAGAUGUUUUACUGGAAACAUUAACCUUUACCCACCAUGUAUAAAGAGUUGGCAUUUUUGCCAAUUGGCAUAUAUUUCAAAG